CAGUAGCCGCGGUAAAACGGAGGGUGCAAGCGUUAUCCGGAUUUAUUGGGUUUAAAGGGUCCGUAGGCGGAUCUGUAAGUCAGUGGUGAAAUCUCACAGCUUAACUGUGAAACUGCCAUUGAUACUGCAGGUCUUGAGUAAAUUUGAAGUGGCUGGAAUAAGUAGUGUAGCGGUGAAAUGCAUAGAUAUUACUUAGAACACCAAUUGCGAAGGCAGGUCACUAAGAUUUAACUGACGCUGAUGGACGAAAGCGUGGGGAGCGAACAGGAUUAGAUACCCCGGUAGUCCCUGUCUCUUAUAC
rnacentral:rRNA from 1 species